AAAUAAAAACGUGCCACUUUAUAGCUUAUCAGUAAAUUCGUUCAUGACAGUACGACAUCCCGUCCGUGACUUACUAAGUUACUAACAAACUCAUGAGUGAGAGAGAGAGAGAGAGAGAGACUGUGUGUGUGAUGCUGAUGCGAUUCUCCGGAUUCCUGGGUUCGAUCCGUUUCUCUCUCUCUAUAAAUACAUGCAUCAGCGUAUGUAUAGCUGAAGAUUUGGCUGUAAUAAAGAAGGGGAGUAUAUUCUUUUCUUUCAUUAUUUUUGGUUAAAAGGAGUUACAAUCCAGAAACUAACUCAUUUUCUGUUCCCUCUUUUGUGUUUGCUGCCACCAUAUACGGAGGUUUCGUAAUAUGCUCGGAAUAUCUUGUACACUGGGGUUUUCGCCAUUAGAUUGUUGGUCAAGUAUCCAAUAAUCUAGAUCAGGCCAAAAUUUUCUAUAUUUUUUUAUACACCGGAAGAUAGUAGAAUUUUCGUUAUAUAUGAUAUUCGUGGUAAUUAAUUGGCUUCCAAAUAUGUCAUUUUAUUGAGCAGGUGGUCUAAAAGUUUGAACUUGUUUCUCUCUCUUCCAAUGGAAAAAAAAGAAGUGCCUUCUGAAAGAGAGUUUGCAAUUGGAAAACACAACGUCGUUGUCGUGACUGCAUGUAGAAUCUGCAUGUAAGUGAGAGGAAACUGCAGUUCUGUGGAACUACCAAGUUGCCAGAGAAUCUUCUAUGUUUGAUGUUUACAUGUAGAAUCUGGUAUCAAAUUCCUUGUACCAAAGUUAUCGGAUUGUGGAAAUUUUGGUUGAGUAUAGAGUAGGAUAAUGUUAUUAACCUCUGUACAUUCUCUUCAGUUCCCUCUUUUUGAGUUGAGAUCCUCUCCGGAUCUCAUUGUACGGAGUCUAAGGACCAGCAAAUUCGGAUUGUUCAAGAGAGUGAGAUUUGGGCCUUGGUUUGUGUAAGGUGCCCCAGCAGAAUAAGUUAAUAGGAACUGUCAGAUUCAAUUUGAGUGGUUCAGAUUUUCAGACAAUGAGAUCACGAGAAGAUCUCAACCUCUUCUUUGAUUCUAUUGGAAUUCUUAUGAAAAUUUGCAAGUUUGUAUUCCUUUGCCAUUUUUGUAAACUAAUCUGAUAUGAGCAAUUGUUCUUGAUUAAUAGCAUGUUUCUGGUUUUAUCCAA